AACGAACGCUGGCGGCAUGCCUAACACAUGCAAGUCGAACGAAGUCUUCGGACUUAGUGGCGCACGGGUGCGUAACGCGUGGGAAUCUGCCCUUGGGUGCGGAAUAACUUCUCGAAAGGGAUGCUAAUACCGCAUAAUGUCGUAAGACCAAAGAUUUUAAUCGCCCAAGGAUGAGCCCGCGUAAGAUUAGCUAGUUGGUGGGUAAAAGCCUACCAAGGCGACGAUCUUUAGCUGGUCUGAGAGGAUGAUCAGCCACACUGGGACUGAGACACGGCCCAGACUCCUACGGAGCAGCAGUGGGAAUAUUGGACAAUGGGCGAAAGCCUGAUCCAGCAAUGCCGCGUGAGUGAUGAAGGCCCUAGGUGUAAAGCUCUUUUACCAGGGAUGAUAAUGACAGUACCUGGA
rnacentral:rRNA from 1 species